rnacentral:rRNA from 1 species
UACGAAGGGGGCUAGCGUUGCUCGGAAUUACUGGGCGUAAAGGGCGCGUAGGCGGACAGUUUAGUCAGAGGUGAACGCCCAGGGCUCAACCUUGGGAUUGCCUUUGAUACUGGCUGUCUUGAGUACGAGAGAGGUGAGUGGAAUUCCCAGUGUAGAGGUGAAAUUCGUAGAUAUUGGGAAGAACACCGGUGGCGAAGGCGGCUCACUGGCUCGUAACUGACGCUCAUGCACGACAGCGUGGGGAUCAAACAGG